AUAAUGGGUCAGCGACUUAUAUUCUGUAGCAAGGUUAACCGAAUAGGGGAGCCGAAGGGAAACCGAGUCUUAACUGGGCGUUAAGUUGCAGGGUAUAGACCCGAAACCCGGUGAUCUAGCCAUGGGCAGGUUGAAGGUUGGGUAACACUAACUGGAGGACCGAACCGACUAAUGUUGAAAAAUUAGCGGAUGACUUGUGGCUGGGGGUGAAAGGCCAAUCAAACCGGGAGAUAGCUGGUUCUCCCCGAAAGCUAUUUAGGUAGCGCCUCGUGAAUUCAUCUCCGGGGGUAGAGCACUGUUUCGGCAAGGGGGUCAUCCCGACUUACCAACCCGAUGCAAACUGCGAAUACCGGAGAAUGUUAUCACGGGAGACACACGGCGGGUGCUAACGUCCGUCGUGAAGAGGGAAACAACCCAGACCGCCAGCUAAGGUCCCAAAGUCAUGGUUAAGUGGGAAACGAUGUGGGAAGGCCCAGACAGCCAGGAUGUUGGCUUAGAAGCAGCCAUCAUUUAAAGAAAGCGUAAUAGCUCACUGGUCGAGUCGGCCUGCGCGGAAGAUGUAACGGGGCUAAACCAUGCACCGAAGCUGCGGCAGCGACGCUGAUGCGUUGUUGGGUAGGGGAGCGUUCUGUAAGCCUGCGAAGGUGUGCUGUGAGGCAUGCUGGAGGUAUCAGAAGUGCGAAUGCUGACAUAAGUAACGAUAAAGCGGGUGAAAAGCCCGCUCGCCGGAAGACCAAGGGUUCCUGUCCAACGUUAAUCGGGGCAGGGUGAGUCGACCCCUAAGGCGAGGCCGAAAGGCGUAGUCGAUGGGAAACAGGUUAAUAUUCCUGUACUUGGUGUUACUGCGAAGGGGGGACGGAGAAGGCUAUGUUGGCCGGGCGACGGUUGUCCCGGUUUAAGCGUGUAGGCUGGUUUUCCAGGCAAAUCCGGAAAAUCAAGGCUGAGGCGUGAUGACGAGGCACUGCGGUGCUGAAGCAACAAAUGCCCUGCUUCCAGGAAAAGCCUCUAAGCAUCAGGUAACAUCAAAUCGUACCCCAAACCGACACAGGUGGUCAGGUAGAGAAUACCAAGGCGCUUGAGAGAACUCGGGUGAAGGAACUAGGCAAAAUGGUGCCGUAACUUCGGGAGAAGGCACGCUGAUAUGUAGGUGAAGUCCCUCGCGGAUGGAGCUGAAAUCAGUCGAAGAUACCAGCUGGCUGCAACUGUUUAUUAAAAACACAGCACUGUGCAAACACGAAAGUGGACGUAUACGGUGUGACGCCUGCCCGGUGCCGGAAGGUUAAUUGAUGGGGUUAGCGCAAGCGAAGCUCUUGAUCGAAGCCCCGGUAAACGGCGGCCGUAACUAUAACGGUCCUAAGGUAGCGAAAUUCCUUGUCGGGUAAGUUCCGACCUGCACGAAUGGCGUAAUGAUGGCCAGGCUGUCUCCACCCGAGACUCAGUGAAAUUGAACUCGCUGUGAAGAUGCAGUGUACCCGCGGCAAGACGGAAAGACCCCGUGAACCUUUACUAUAGCUUGACACUGAACAUUGAGCCUUGAUGUGUAGGAUAGGUGGGAGGCUUUGAAGUGUGGACGCCAGUCUGCAUGGAGCCGACCUUGAAAUACCACCCUUUAAUGUUUGAUGUUCUAACGUUGACCCGUAAUCCGGGUUGCGGACAGUGUCUGGUGGGUAGUUUGACUGGGGCGGUCUCCUCCUAAAGAGUAACGGAGGAGCACGAAGGUUGGCUAAUCCUGGUCGGACAUCAGGAGGUUAGUGCAAUGGCAUAAGCCAGCUUGACUGCGAGCGUGACGGCGCGAGCAGGUGCGAAAGCAGGUCAUAGUGAUCCGGUGGUUCUGAAUGGAAGGGCCAUCGCUCAACGGAUAAAAGGUACUCCGGGGAUAACAGGCUGAUACCGCCCAAGAGUUCAUAUCGACGGCGGUGUUUGGCACCUCGAUGUCGGCUCAUCACAUCCUGGGGCUGAAGUAGGUCCCAAGGGUAUGGCUGUUCGCCAUUUAAAGUGGUACGCGAGCUGGGUUUAGAACGUCGUGAGACAGUUCGGUCCCUAUCUGCCGUGGGCGCUGGAGAACUGAGGGGGGCUGCUCCUAGUACGAGAGGACCGGAGUGGACGCAUCACUGGUGUUCGGGUUGUCAUGCCAAUGGCACUGCCCGGUAGCUAAAUGCGGAAGAGAUAAGUGCUGAAAGCAUCUAAGCACGAAACUUGCCCCGAGAUGAGUUCUCCCUGACUCCUUGAGAGUCCUGAAGGAACGUUGAAGACGACGACGUUGAUAGGCCGGGUGUGUAAGCGCAGCGAUGCGU
rnacentral:rRNA from 1 species